AUUAUAUAUCASCCAAUAAGCAUCUGCUAUUGUGGUGACUCAUAGUAACUUAAUCGGAUCGCAUGGGCUUGUCCCGCGACAAACCAUUCAAGUUUCUGCCCCAUCAUGCUUUCGAUGGUAGUGUAUUGGACUACCAUGGCUUUCACGGGUAACGGAGGAUUAGGGUUCGAUUCCGGAGAGGGAGCCUGAGAAACGGCUACCACUUCCACGGAAGGCAGCAGGCGCGUAAAUUACCCAAUCCUGAUUCAGGGAGGUAGUG
rnacentral:rRNA from 1 species